rnacentral:piRNA from 1 species
AUGCCUGAACACCACUGAAGAAUG